CCUACGGGAUGCAGCAGUGGGGAAUAUUGGGCAAUGGGCGCAAGCCUGACCCAGCAACGCCGCGUGAAGGAAGAAGGCUUUCGGGUUGUAAACUUCUUUUGUCAGGGAAGAGUAGAAGACGGUACCUGACGAAUAAGCCACGGCUAACUACGUGCCAGCAGCCGCGGUAAUACGUAGGUGGCAAGCGUUGUCCGGAUUUACUGGGUGUAAAGGGCGUGUAGCCGGGUUGACAAGUCAGAUGUGAAAUCCAGCGGCUUAACCGCAGAACUGCAUUUGAAACUGUUGAUCUUGAGUACUGGAGAGGCAGAUGGAAUUCCUAGUGUAGCGGUGAAAUGCGUAGAUAUUAGGAGGAACACCAGUGGCGAAGGCGGUCUGCUGGACAGCAACUGACGGUGAGGCGCGAAAGCGUGGGGAGCAAACAGGAUUAGAUACCCCGGUAGUC
rnacentral:rRNA from 1 species